UCUCCGUUGGUGAACCAGCGGAGGGAUCAUUACCGAGUUUACAACUCCCAAACCCCUAUGUGAACGUUACCAAACUGUUGCCUCGGCGGGAAAUUCAUGCCCCGGGCGCGUCGCAGCCCCGGACCAAGGCGCCCGCCGGAGGACCAACCAAAACUCUUUUGUAUGUCCCUCGCGAACUUUUAUAAUUCUGAACCAUCUCGGCGCCCCUAGCGGGCGUUUCGAAAAUGAAUCAAAACUUUCAACAACGGAUCUCUUGGUUCUG
rnacentral:misc_RNA from 1 species